UACAGAGGUCCCGAGCGUUUGUUCGGAUUCAUUGGGCGUAAAGGGUGCGUAGGCGGUCUUCUAAGUUUGAUGUGAAAUCCCGGGGCUCAACCCUGGAAUUGCAUUGAAUACUGGAGGACUAGAGUACUGGAGAGGAAACUGGAAUUUACGGUGUAGCAGUGAAAUGCGUAGAGAUCGUAAGGAAGACCAGUGGCGAAGGCGAAUCUCUGGACAGUUACUGACACUGAGGCACGAAGGCCAGGGGAGCAAACGGG
rnacentral:rRNA from 1 species